rnacentral:rRNA from 1 species
UACCCGCAGCUCAAGUGGUAGCCGCUAUUAUUGGGCCUAAAACGUUCGUAGCCGGUUUGGUAAAUGCCUGGGUAAAUUGCGUGGCUUAACUAUACGAAUUCCGGGUAGACUGCCAAACUUGAGACCGGGAGAAGCUAGAGGUACUCCUGGGGUAGAGGUGAAAUUCUGUAAUCCUAGGGGGACCACCAGUGGCGAAGGCGUCUAGCUAGAACGGGUUUGACGGUGAGGAACGAAGCCCUGGGGCGCAAACCGGAUUAGAUACCCGGGUAGUCCAGGGUGUAAACGCUGCUUGCUUGAUGUUAGUUGGGCUCCGAGCCCAAUUAGUGUCGGAGAGAAGUUGUUAAGCAAGCUGCCUGGGAAGUACGAUCGCAAGAUUGAAACUUAAGGAAUUGGCGGGGGAGCACAGCAACGGGUGGAGCGUGCGGUUU